rnacentral:rRNA from 1 species
AUCAGCCUUUGGGUGCGAUUCUGUGGAAGUUUGAGGAAGCUUUAACACCUUCAUGCUUUGCAUAUUCGUGCUCUUGGGUGUACUUUGCCCGUGUGGUUGGUUAACAUCAAUUUUGGUGGUCAUAAAAUGACUGGAGGAAUGUAGCUUAUUGAAGUGUUAUAGCCUUCGGUAGAUGUGAUGAUCGAGAUUGAGGAUUGCAACGGAUACCCUUCGGGGCUACCUGUCUGAUCUCUGAUCGUUGCUUUGGUGCUGAAAGCGUGCUUAUAGUUAUCAAAGUCGAUGGUCAAUAGGUUAGAAUGGGUUAAAUUCGUUAAGGAUGUUGACGUAAUGGCUUU